rnacentral:lncRNA from 1 species
UUUUAGUGGAGGCAAUGGUCACAUGCCAUUCCUGCAAACAACAAAUGCUCUAAUCAAUUUGCAUCUAAAAAGGGGUUUUGAAAUCAAUACAACACAACCAAUGGUCCAACUCAUCUUUAGGUUUACGCUUUGAAUAACGUGAGUCUUGACGUAACUGGUAAAGUUAAUGUUAUGAUGUGACCAAGAGGUAUACUGGGUUCGAGCUGUGAAAACAGCCUCUUGCAGAAACAUAUGGUAAGACUGCGUAAAAUAGACCUUUGUAGUUCAUUCCUUUACCGGACCCAGCACAUAACAAAAACUUUAAUUCACAAACACAGGGUAAGACUGCGUACAAUAGACCUUUGUAGUUCAUCUCUUCACCGGACCCACACAUAACAAAAACUUUAAUUCACCGAACUGCCCUUUUUGAUCUUUAGGCUUUCUUGGCUUUGAGUGGAGCAAUCAUCAAAUGCACUUGUCUGUAGACAACAAAAGGAAAGCCUCUACUCUUUCCAAACUCAUCCUAAUUUCAUUAUCAAGAGAAAAAAAAUUUUGCUUAUCGAAUAACUUUCCUAGUAUAGACGAGAACGCUUGACAAGUCAAGAAAGUCUCGUAGGAAGCGGGAAGGAACUCAGACUGUGACGACUAGUUUCACUAGCUUCCACAAUAAGUAUCCUAAUGAAGCAAACAAUAUGCUUCAAUGGUGGUCCAGAAAUUCUUAAUUUCAAUGAACAAUAAAAUUGCGUACAAUAGAUUCUUGUGGCCCAGCUCUUUUCCGAACCCCGCGUAUAGCGGGAGCUUCGUGCACCGGAGCUUCGUGCACCGGGCUGCCCAACAAUAAGAUUGAAGGAACCACCACAAAAUAGAUUCAUGAAAAAGAGAUGUGGAACCACAGUAGCAGUAUAGGAGAGAUGUAUGGAUUUAGGAAUGUUAACAGAACCUUUGCUAAAAGAAUUGCUGAUUGUUGCAACUAAUUAGAGAAAGUCCCAUUAAGCAAUCAUCUUAUGGCAACAUAUGCAGAAGAAAGUGAACUACAAAGGAGGAAGCAAAUUAGCAAGAGUGAGAACAUAAUAUUUAACAUUAACGUAAAUCAAGAUACAAACAAUGAUGUUUCACUUGUCCGGAUUUUGGAAGACAAAUGCUUUAUUUACAACAGCAGCAGCCAAAAGCAUAAUACUUCUCCCAUAUUUACAUUAGCUAUAUUUACACUAAAUAAUCAGCUUGAUAGGUCAAAUCCCCCUCCCNNN